rnacentral:rRNA from 1 species
AUAAGAAAGUAAGCAAGGGCAGACGGUGGAUGCCUUGGCUCUCGGAGGCGACGAAGGACGUGAUAAGCUGCGAUAAGCUGGGGGGAGAUGCAAAUAAUCUUUGAUCCUCAGAUUUCCGAAUGGGGCAACCCGGCAGGUUGAAGGCCUGUCAUCCCGUAAGGGAGGCGAACGUGGGGAACUGAAACAUCUAAGUACCCAUAGGAGGAGAAAAUAAGAAUGAUUCCGCAAGUAGUGGCGAGCGAACGCGGAAGAGCCCAAACCGGUAUUGUUUAGGCAAUACCGGGGUUGUAGGACCACGUUGUGGCAAGAACUUAGGAAAGUGGAACACUUUGGAAAAAGUGAUCGUAGAGGGUGAAAAUCCCGUACACGACUUUCUAACGAAGCCUAGUGGUAUCCUGAGUAGCGCGGAGCACGAGAAAUUCUGUGUGAAUUAGCGGGGCCCAUCCCGUAAGGCUAAAUACUCCCGAGAGACCGAUAGCGAACCAGUACCGUGAGGGAAAGGUGAAAAGAACCUCGAACAGAGGAGUGAAAUAGACCCUGAACCCGUCUGCCUACAAGCGGUCGGAGCAACGUAAGUUGUGACGGCGUGCCUUUUGCAUAAUGAACCUACGAGUUACUUUCUCCGGCAAGGUUAAGUAUUUCAGAUACGGAGCCGAAGCGAAAGCGAGUCUGAACAGGGCGACAUAGUCGGAGGGAGUAGACGCGAAACCAAGUGAUCUACCCAUGGUCAGGUUGAAGGUUAGGUAACACUAACUGGAGGACCGAACCGGUAAGCGUUGAAAAGCUUUCGGAUGAACUGUGGGUAGGGGUGAAAGGCUAAUCAAACUUGGAGAUAGCUCGUACUCCCCGAAAUGCAUUUAGGUGCAGCCUUUAUUUAGUAUAGCAUGAGGUAGAGCGACUGAUUGGAUGCGAGGGCUUCACCGCCUAUCAAGUCCAGAUAAACUCCGAAUGCGUGCUAUAUAUUGAUAAGGAGUGAGGGCGCGGGUGCUAAGGUCCGCGUCCGAGAGGAGAAGAAUCCAGACCAUCAGCUAAGGUCCCCAAAUAACAGUUAAGUUGAACUAACGAAGUCAGACUGCAGAGACAGCUAGGAUGUUGGCUUGGAAGCAGCCAUUCAUUUAAAGAGUGCGUAACAGCUCACUAGUCGAGGAGUUUGGCGUGGAUAAUACUCGGGCAUAAACUGUUUACCGAAGCUAUGGAUCCAGAGUAAUGGAUGGUAGGGGAGCAUUCCAGUGGCGUUGAAGGUGAGGGAUAACCCUUGCUGGAGUAGCUGGAAAAGCAAAUGUAGGUAUAAGUAACGAUAAAGGAAGUGAGAAACUUCCUCGCCGAAAGACUAAGGUUUCCUGAUCAACGUUAAUCGGAUCAGGGUAAGUCGGGACCUAAGGAUAAGCCGAACGGCGAUUCCGAUGGAAGAAUGGUUUAAUAUUCCCAUACUACUUUAUAGAGCGAUGUGGAGACGGAGAAGUGACAGUCCUGCCAACUGACGGAAUAGUUGGUUAAAGGGUGUAGACGUUGAUCGCGGUAGGCAAAUCCGCCGUGAGAGUCGAACCUGAGAGUAUGCCGAGUACUUGUACAAGGCAAUAUGGAUGUAAACAGGCUCCCUAGAAAAUCCGCUAAGCAUAUCUAUAGAGUACCCGUACCGUAAACGGACACACGUAGUUGGGUUGAGAAUACUGAGGCGCUCGAGUGAUUCACGGUUAAGGAACUAGGCAAAUUGACCCUGUAACUUCGGGAUAAA